rnacentral:hammerhead_ribozyme from 1 species
GCACAUCUGACGAGUCCCAUACAGGAUGAAACAGAUGUUCUGUGC